GCCCUCUUAGCUCAGUGGUAGAGCGCAUCACUAGUAAUGAUGAGGUCAGCAGUUCAAUUCUGUUAGAGGGCA